UACGUAGGGUGCGAGCGUUAAUCGGAAUUACUGGGCGUAAAGCGUGCGCAGGCGGUUUUGCAAGCCGGAUGUGAAAUCCCCGGGCUCAACCUGGGAAUGGCAUUCGGGACUGCAAGGCUGGAGUGCGGCAGAGGAGACUGGAAUUCCUGGUGUAGCAGUGAAAUGCGUAGAUAUCAGGAGGAAUACCGAUGGCGAAGGCAGGUCUCUGGGCUGACACUGACGCUCAUGCACGAAAGCGUGGGGAGUAAACAGG
rnacentral:rRNA from 1 species